UACGGAGGGUGCAAGCGUUGUCCGGAUUUAUUGGGUUUAAAGGGUGCGUAGGUGGCUAUUUAAGUCAGUGGUGAAAGCCUGCAGCUUAACUGUAGGACUGCCAUUGAUACUGAAUAGCUUGAGUACUGAUGAGGUAGGCGGAAUUGAUAGUGUAGCGGUGAAAUGCAUAGAUAUUAUCAAGACCACCGAUUGCGAAGGCAGCUUACUAAGGCGUUACCGGCACUGAGGCACGAAAGCGUGGGGAGCAAACCGG
rnacentral:rRNA from 1 species